AGUGAACGCUGGCGGUAGGCCUAACACAUGCAAGUCGAACGGCAGCACAGUAAGAGCUUGCUCUUACGGGUGGCGAGUGGCGGACGGGUGAGGAAUACAUCGGAAUCUACUUUUUCGUGGGGGAGAACGUAGGGAAACUUACGCUAAUACCGCAUACGACCUACGGGUGAAAGCAGGGGAUCUUCGGACCUUGCGCGAUUGAAUGAGCCGAUGUCGGAUUAGCUAGUUGGCGGGGCAAAGGCCCACCAAGGCGACGAUCCGUAGCUGGUCUGAGAGGAUGAUCAGCCACACUGGAACUGAGACACGGUCCAGACUCCUACGGGAGGCAGCAGUGGGGAAUAUUGGACAAUGGGCGCAAGCCUGAUCCAGCCAUACCGCGUGGGUGAAGAAGGCCUUCGGGUUGUAAAGCCCUUUUGUUGGGAAAGAAAAGCAGCAGGUUAAUACCCCGCUGUUCUGACGGUACCCAAAGAAUAAGCACCGGCUAACUUCGUG
rnacentral:rRNA from 1 species